GACGAACGCUGGCGGCGUGCCUAAUACAUGCAAGUCGAACGAACUCUGGUAUUGAUUGGUGCUUGCAUCAUGAUUUACAUUUGAGUGAGUGGCGAACUGGUGAGUAACACGUGGGAAACCUGCCCAGAAGCGGGGGAUAACACCUGGAAACAGAUGCUAAUACCGCAUAACAACUUGGACCGCAUGGUCCGAGUUUGAAAGAUGGCUUCGGCUAUCACUUUUGGAUGGUCCCGCGGCGUAUUAGCUAGAUGGUGGGGUAACGGCUCACCAUGGCAAUGAUACGUAGCCGACCUGAGAGGGUAAUCGGCCACAUUGGGACUGAGACACGGCCCAAACUCCUACGGGAGGCAGCAGUAGGGAAUCUUCCACAAUGGACGAAAGUCUGAUGGAGCAACGCCGCGUGAGUGAAGAAGGGUUUCGGCUCGUAAAACUCUGUUGUUAAAGAAGAACAUAUCUGAGAGUAACUGUUCAGGUAUUGACGGUAUUUAACCAGAAAGCCACGGCUAACUACGUGCCAGCAGCCGCGGUAAUACGUAGGUGGCAAGCGUUGUCCGGAUUUAUUGGGCGUAAAGCGAGCGCAGGCGGUUUUUUAAGUCUGAUGUGAAAGCCUUCGGCUCGACCGAAGAAGUGCAUCGGAAACUGGGAAACUUGAGUGCAGAAGAGGACAGUGGAACUCCAUGUGUAGCGGUGAAAUGCGUAGAUAUAUGGAAGAACACCAGUGGCGAAGGCGGCUGUCUGGUCUGUAACUGACGCUGAGGCUCGAAAGUAUGGGUAGCAAACAGGAUUAGAUACCCUGGUAGUCCAUACCGUAAACGAUGAAUGCUAAGUGUUGGAGGGUUUCCGCCCUUCAGUGCUGCAGCUAACGCAUUAAGCAUUCCGCCUGGGGAGUACGGCCGCAAGGCUGAAACUCAAAGGAAUUGACGGGGGCCCGCACAAGCGGUGGAGCAUGUGGUUUAAUUCGAAGCUACGCGAAGAACCUUACCAGGUCUUGACAUACUAUGCAAAUCUAAGAGAUUAGACGUUCCCUUCGGGGACAUGGAUACAGGUGGUGCAUGGUUGUCGUCAGCUCGUGUCGUGAGAUGUUGGGUUAAGUCCCGCAACGAGCGCAACCCUUAUUAUCAGUUGCCAGCAUUAAGUUGGGCACUCUGGUGAGACUGCCGGUGACAAACCGGAGGAAGGUGGGGAUGACGUCAAAUCAUCAUGCCCCUUAUGACCUGGGCUACACACGUGCUACAAUGGAUGGUACAACGAGUUGCGAACUCGCGAGAGUAAGUUAAUCUCUUAAAGCCAUUCUCAGUUCGGAUUGUAGGCUGCAACUCGCCUACAUGAAGUCGGAAUCGCUAGUAAUCGCGGAUCAGCAUGCCGCGGUGAAUACGUUCCCGGGCCUUGUACACACCGCCCGUCACACCAUGAGAGUUUGUAACACCCAAAGUCGGUGGGGUAACCUUUUAGGAACCAGCCGCCUAAGGUGGGACAGAUGAUUAGGGUG
rnacentral:rRNA from 2 species